UCAAAAUGAUUUGUCCUGUCCAGUCCCUGUUUCUGCUAAUGUUCUGGAUUCUGGGAACCAGUGGUGAUGCUGUGCUGACCCAGACUCCACUCUCUUUGUCAGUUUCCACUGGACAGUCAGCUUCCAUCUCUUGCCAGUCAAGUCAGAGCCUCUUACAUAGCGAUGGAAAAACCUAUUUGAAUUGGUUGCUACAGAGACCAGGACAGUCUCCACAGCAUCUGAUUUAUCAGGUGUCCACACUUGACACUGGAGUCCCUGAUACAUUCAGUGGCAGUGGGUCUGGAACAGAUUUCACACUCAAAAUCAGCAGAGGGGAGGAUGAGGAUAUGGGAGUUUAUUAUUGCCUCCAAGGUACACAUUUUCCUGCCACAGUGAUGCAGACCAUAACAAAACCUCCUUGCUUGGGGAGGCCCGGGUGCAAUGGGCUGCCUGACUGGACAGGAGCAGUCACUCUGCAUCAAUUUAUUGUACAGAGAGCCACAGACACCUAUGAUCGUGACUUCAAUGAAAGGCUGGUCAUUCUCCUUCCGGAAGCCAUUUGUUAA